GUCCCUCCUUCCCCUAAGAUAGCAGGCCAUGCGUUUCCUACCAGCUUGGUUUCCAUAUUGCCUGCUAACAGGAUUUGUGCUUCCUCGUCUCUCUGCUCCUAACAAACAAUGCUGACACCUGGACACCCUCCUAAAAACGCUGACGAUGGCCAGGUGCCCCAGGCUCUGAGAAAGCUACAAAAAAGGGCUCUCUCUGGAUCUCUCACCAGCCUGCUCCUGCCAUGGGCAUCUUAUCACAGCAACAGGAAAAGAAAACAAGACACUGGGUAAGAAGAGCCUGUGGCAGGACGGGCAGAGGCAAUCACAGGGAGCCCUACAAGGUCGAAGAGCAGCAUGCAUCAGCAUGGUAAAGGUACUUGUCAUUCCAGCCUGGCUAUCUGAGCUCUGUCAGAACCCACGUAAAGAUGAAAGAAGAGAACUAACCCCACAAAGCUCCCUCCAACCAUGGCAUGCUUACCUACAUACACACAAGAUGUACAUAUGUGUGCGCACACACACACUCACACACACACUAAUAAAUGAAUGAAAACAA